GCUGCAUGCGGCUCACGGGGAGCCGGCUUUGGACAUAGCGGGUCUCUGUCUCUUUCGUUUUAUUUCAUUCACUUACUUGUGUUCCUCUCACUUAGGACCGACCUCGUCUGUCCAGAACCGGCGUUUUCUCAAAGAAAAUAUCUCUGUCCGAAAAUGGAAAGAAAAAUCGGCUGGAAAUGUCCCCACCGUGGUGCCUGACAUAACCAGCGUGAACUGGGGCCCCAGAGACCGACCUAAAAUCUGGGCGCAGGCUUCGGUGGGAGGCGAAGACAGCCGCUCUGAGCUCCUGAGCGGUCCCAGGCGGCGCAGGGGUUACGCUCCGCGAAGCUGGGAGCCCACUCUGGCUGGUCUGACUUAUGGGUUCAGCUGCUCUGGCCCUGACCUUGUGCCCGGCACACAGUAUGUGCUCAGUAUCUGCCUCUGGACCGCAUUAAUCCAGUAAAUGAAGCUUUCAGCAUACAGAUCUAUACUUAAAUUCUGACUCUUAAAUCCUGUCGGGAACAAUGUCCCGGGCAAGAUAUUUGACCUCCUCUUGGCUAUUAUAUAGUUUUUAAAAAAUAAUGCUCUGUAUUUGUCACUAUUUAUAUUCACAGUGUCUGAAAAAAGAUAGGUGCUGGAUAAACCUUUUGUGGAAAUGAGACUCUGCACCUCAGUUUACUCAUCUGUAGAAGUACCAUGAUAUCUACCCAGAAUUAACUCUUAUGAAGAUUAAAUGAGGUAAUGUAUUUAAAGUUCCUGGCACAUAAGAAGUGCUGAGUAGAUACAUGGUGACUUAACAGUUUCUGUUGGCAAACAUCUCCACUGCCCUCUGUUACCUUAUUCCAGGUAACCCUCAAAUGUGACUGUCUGCAUUCUUCCUGUCUUCUCCUCCACACCCCCAAACAUCUCCAUUUGCACUUAGAGCCGUUCACGGGGUGUCCCAACAGGGACACCCUGACCGGCGAUCAUUAUCCACCUCCGCACAAAGAUGCAGAACUGCCACUAGCAGCCCGAGACAGAGCAGCAGCCCAGGGCUGGGCCGGGAGAAAGCAGCUGGCUUCCUGAGGGUCAGGCCCAGUCUCAACCAUCUCUUUAGCCCAGAUGGGGCCCAGAGGGAGAGCGCUGAUGUCUAGGCUCAACCUCUGAAAAGAGCCACAGUGCAAAGUCUCAGGGGCCUCCCAAAGCUGAUCCUGGCCACAGCCUCCUUGGAUUUUACUUUGGGAAAGAUGCUAAUGGGGGUUUUCCACCUCAGAAUUGGAAAUCAUAUACUCAUAUCUAUAGGGGAUAUAUGAUUCUAGAAGCUUCAUGGAAGUUCAAAACCUCAGGACCAUCUAGAAGCUUCCAAAAGGCAGACAUCUGCAACUGUAGAUGAGAGAAGACCGUAUUUCCCCCCCAAGGUGCUUAAAGGCAGCUUGACUUGGAGACUUCUUGAACAGCCGGUCAAUUCUGUGUUUCUGUAAGAUGAUGGCACAGAGAAAACCCAAUAGCAACAUGACUCCUUGAAGAUUGUUCCUCUGUUUGGAUGGGAUUGGAUGAAAAGCAUCUUUUAGGAAAGAGAUAAUGCGGAUGACCCUGCAUUUGUAUAAUGCUUUGAUCAUUCUUACAAAUUUUAUAUUUGUGUUGCCUACAACUUUGUCAAUCAAGUGGACCAGGCACUUUAAACCCUACAUUACACAUGGAAAAACUGAUAUUUAGAAGGUCCAGCUGAUUUUCUAGACUUGCAUUUAGUUAAUAGGCAGACUUGAAAUGUAUUUUCAUCUACAAUGCCUGUGAAUGAACUAUACAGCCUCCCAGCUCCCAGCUGUACUUGGAAGAAGUGCACAGGAUGCUGAAUUUAAAAUAUAUAUACCAACGUGGAGAAGUUUCCUCAUAAGGAGAGCAUUGUGUAGUGGAUCAAGCAUGGGCACUGCAGUCAGAAUGCCUGGAUUUAAAUUCCGACAGCAUCACUUACUAGCUGAGGGGCCUUGGGCAACUGACGUAUCCUCUCCAGAAUUUUUUGAAAGUCAGCACUUUAAGUAAAUAAUGAGAGAACAAAGAAGAGAGAAUGAAGAGAGGCAGAAGGAGAGUAGCCUGUUGAGUAAGAGAUGAAAAACUGUAGAGUUGAGCACCAAUAAGUAUAAAAAUUAAGUAAAAAUCUUGCAUAUGCCUAUACUGUGAAUUUUUCCUAAUUAAAAAUAACCCAUGAAGGCAUCAAGAUGACCUGUGACCAGAGACUGAAUCAUCUUUGCAUGACAUCAACAUGACCCCCUUGUGCAGAUCCUCUGGAAGCAGAGUGGAACCCCCAUUCCAGAUCCGAGAGGACAAGCUGAGGACCUUUUUCCAUCCGUGUGCAUGAGGAGAUCUUGAUAUGGGCAGAGAUGAUACAGCCUUCUUUCCUACACAGUUCUUUCUGGUUAUUCCUACUCCGAGAACUGAGAAGUUCACAAUAUUUCCCAUUUUUAACUGCUGUUUAUAGAAACACACUUGUCAGAGUCCAUCAAAGCCAUGGACGGUGUAAAAAAUGGAGAAAGUUUCCAAUGGGGGAGAGUCAAGGAAAUCCCCCAAAUGAGGAAAUUGUAAGUAGAUUUUCCAUAUGACUGUCAUUCUUUAAGAAUUUGCUCCAUGUAUGUAAUCCUACUUUCGGCCAGCUCCAAAGGAAAUGGCCCCUCACCCUUCACUCUUUCACCAAAAAUCAAACAGGAAGAGAUAAUGAUCCUCCCACAGUGUCCCAAUGAAUCCUUAAAGAUUGUCUUUUUAUUGUCAACUUGACAUAUUAAUCAAGUGUCAGUUGAAAAAUAUAUUAAAAAGUUAAAUGAUUUUCAUUUCCACUACAGCUUAUGUUGCAGUGGAAUACAAUGGUUAAACAUGUUUGUGAAGUGUUGGGCUGUAACACUGUAUUUCUUCUGACAUAAGCAGUAUUAUAGGGUUUUAUUUUUGCACCAUUUUAGAGAUGGGUAAAAACAAGACUCAGAGAUUUAAGAGCUUUAUAGAAGAGUCAGAAACAGCCCAUUGCCCUAUAUUGUAAAUCACCCCAUUUUGAAUGAAAUUGCCCAAUUCACAGAGAAGUUUCAUGUUCACUAGGUAAAAGAGAUGAAGAAGAAGGGGUGGGGCUGGAGGGGGGAGAAAAUUUUUAAAAAAUAGGAAAGG